AUGAACGCUGGCGGCGUGCCUAAUACAUGCAAGUCGCGCGAACAGACGAGGAGCUUGCUCCUCUGACGUUAGCGGCGGACGGGUGAGUAACACGUGGAUAACCUACCUAUAAGACUGGGAUAACUUCGGGAAACCGGAGCUAAUACCGGAUAAUAUAUUGAACCGCAUGGUUCAAUAGUGAAAGACGGUUUUGCUGUCACUUAUAGAUGGAUCCGCGCCGCAUUAGCUAGUUGGUAAGGUAACGGCUUACCAAGGCAACGAUGCGUAGCCGACCUGAGAGGGUGAUCGGCCACACUGGAACUGAGACACGGUCCAGACUCCUACGGGAGGCAGCAGUAGGGAAUCUUCCGCAAUGGGCGAAAGCCUGACGGAGCAACGCCGCGUGAGUGAUGAAGGUCUUCGGAUCGUAAAACUCUGUUAUUAGGGAAGAACAAAUGUGUAAGUAACUAUGCACGUCUUAACGGUACCUAAUCAGAAAGCCACGGCUAACUACGUG
rnacentral:rRNA from 1 species